rnacentral:rRNA from 1 species
UUAUCCGGAUUUAUUGGGCGUAAAGCGCCUGUAGGUUGUUUAAUAAGUCUGUUGUUAAAGACUAGGGCUUAACCCUAGGAAAGCAACGGAAACUACUAGACUUGAGUAUGAUAGGGGUAGAGGGAAUUUCUAGUGUAGCGGUGAAAUGCGUAGAUAUUAGAAAGAACACCGGCGGCGAAGGCGCUCUACUGGAUCAUUACUGACACUCAGAGGCGAAAGCUAGGGUAGCAAAAGGGAUUAGAUACCCCUGUAGUCCUAGCCGUAAACGAUGGAUACUAUAUGUUGCGUUUUUAAUGCAGUGUGGUAGCUAACGCGUUAAGUAUCCCGCCUGGGGAGUACGGUCGCAAGGCUGAAACCCAAAGGAAUUGACGGGGGCCCGCACAAGCGGUGGAGCAUGUGGUUUAAUUCGAUGCAACGCGAAGAACCUUACCAAGGCUUGACAUACUACAAAUUUCUUUGAAAAAGGAAAGUGCCUUCGGGAAUGUAGAUACAGGUGGUGCAUGGCUGUCGUCAGCUCGUGUCGUGAGAUGUUGGGUUAAGUCCCGCAACGAGCGCAACCCUUAUUUUUAGUUGCUAAUUUAGUUUAGGUUUUCUAGAAAGACUGCCGGUGACAAACCGGAGGAAGGUGAGGAUGACGUCAAGUCAGCAUGCCCCUUAUGCCUUGGGCUACACACGUGCUACAAUGGUUAAGACAAAGAGUUGCGAGCUCGUGAGAGUCAGCUAAUCUCAUAAACUUAGCCUAAGUUCGGAUUGUAGGCUGCA